rnacentral:rRNA from 1 species
CCUACGGGCGGCAGCAGUGAGGAAUAUUGGUCAAUGGGCGGAAGCCUGAACCAGCCAAGUAGCGUGCGGGAUGAAGGCCCUACGGGUUGUAAACCGCUUUUGCACGGGGAUAACACCCUCCACUUGUGGAGGUCUGCAUGUACCGUGCGAAUAAGGGCCGGCUAAUUCCGUGCCAGCAGCCGCGGUAAUACGGAAGGCCCGGGCGUUAUCCGGAUUCAUUGGGCUUAAAGGGAGCGUAGGCGGGCGUUCAAGUCAGCUGUAAAAUCGCGCGGCUCAACCGCGCCCCGCAGUUGAAACUGGACGCCUUGAGUGCACAACAGGCAGGCGGAAUUCGUGGUGUAGCGGUGAAAUGCAUAGAUAUCACGAGGAACCCCGAUUGCGAAGGCAGCCUGCCGGGGUGCGACUGACGCUGAGGCUCGAAGGUGCGGGUAUCAAACAGGAUUAGAUACCCCAGUAGUC